AGCACUAUACUAGUUCGUCUUCAGUAGUUUGAGUAAGUUUUACGGUAAGCGACAUUUGGAUGCAAGUUGAUCGAAAUCUAUGGGCGAUAAUUGAACACAAAUUGAAGGAAAACUUCAAGUACAAUAGACAGUACAAAAAAAUAUAAGAUUGCUCACCUUUAGAAAAUACUCACCGUGAAAUAAAAUUCCCAACAAGCACAAUGAAUGUGAAAUUAUUUCCCGGGUCAUGUAACACUAUUUACGUUAGGAUUUUUAAUUAAUGUUAAUUACAAUGAUUUUUUUUAAGGAAAAAUAAUAUAAAUUUAUGAUUAAUAGUUGUACUACUUACUACUAAUAUUUGAUAGCCUAGUACACAAAUAAUUAAGAUAUUUAUUAGAUAUACCAAGGAGCUGAUACUAUAAGCAUCUUUAACGCCAUCUCCCAUUCUUCAAACAAUAAAAUUUGCUCGGCGAUUAUUUUAUUGAGUUUCUUCCUGGAAUUAGGGCCGUUUUCGAGCGCGUCAAUCCUCAUUGUCAACACAGCCAUCUUUCCACUGAUAUAAAAGAGCAGAGAAAUCAAAGUGGAAUCCACUGACACAUAUCCGAAGCCAAAGGCCCAAAUCGAAGGCAUAAUGCAUAAGAAUGUCAAAUAAUAACGCGUCAAGCUAUUUAUUUCAUGGAAAAAAUAAAGUUUGUAGGGAA